AAGUUAUAAAUUGAUUUGCAUGUCAAUGACUGAAAUAAGUAUUUGAUCCCCUAUCAAUAGCAAGAUUUCUGGCUCCAAGGUGUCUUUUAUACAGGUAACUAGCUGAGAUUAGGAGCAUUCUCUUAAAGGGAGUGCUCCUAAUCUCAGCUCGUUGCCUAUAUAAAAAACACCUGUCCACAGAAGCAAUCAAUCAGAUUCCAAACGCUCCACUAUGGCAAAGACCAAAGAGCUGUCCAAGGAUGUCAGGUACAAGAUUGUAG